rnacentral:rRNA from 1 species
GUGGGAAUCUUAGACAAUGGGGGCAACCCUGAUCUAGCCAUGCCGCGUGAGUGAUGAAGGCCUUAGGGUCGUAAAGCUCUUUCGCUGGGGAAGAUAAUGACGGUACCCAGUAAAGAAACCCCGGCUAACUCCGUGCCAGCAGCCGCGGUAAUACGGAGGGGGUUAGCGUUGUUCGGAAUUACUGGGCGUAAAGCGCGCGUAGGCGGAUUGGAAAGUUGGGGGUGAAAUCCCGGGGCUCAACCCUGGAAUGGCCUUCAAAACUCCCAGUCUUGAGGUCGAGAGAGGUGAGUGGAAUUCCGAGUGUAGAGGUGAAAUUCGUAGAUAUUCGGAGGAACACCAGUGGCGAAGGCGGCUCACUGGCUCGAUACUGACGCUGAGGUGCGAAAGCGUGGGGAGCAAACAGGAUUAGAUACCCGAGUAGUCC